rnacentral:rRNA from 1 species
AUUGAACGCUGGCGGCAGGCCUAACACAUGCAAGUCGAGCGGUAGAGAGAUGCUUGCAUCUCUUGAGAGCGGCGGACGGGUGAGUAAUGCCUAGGAAUCUGCCUGUUAGUGGGGGAUAACGCGGGGAAACUCGCGCUAAUACCGCAUACGUCCUACGGGAGAAAGUGGGGGCUCUUCGGACCUCACGCUAACAGAUGAGCCUAGGUCGGAUUAGCUAGUAGGUGAGGUAAAGGCUCACCUAGGCGACGAUCCGUAGCUGGUCUGAGAGGAUGAUCAGCCACACUGGAACUGAGGCACGGUCCAGACUCCUACGGGAGGCAGCAGUGGGGAAUAUUGGACAAUGGGCGCAAGCCUGAUCCAGCCAUGCCGCGUGUGUGAAGAAGGUCUUCGGAUUGUAAAGCACUUUAAGUUGGGAGGAAGGGCUGCCGGUUAAUACCCUGCAGUUUUGACGUUACCGACAGAAUAAGCACCGGCUAACUCUGUGCCAGCAGCCGCCGUAAAAC